UACGAAGGGGGCUAGCGUUGCUCGGAAUGACUGGGCGUAAAGGGCGCGUAGGCGGCUUGCACCGUCAGAUGUGAAAUUCCUGGGCUUAACCUGGGGGCUGCAUUUGAUACGUGUGGGCUUGAGUGCGGUAGAGGGUCGUGGAAUUCCCAGUGUAGAGGUGAAAUUCGUAGAUAUUGGGAAGAACACCGGUGGCGAAGGCGGCGACCUGGUCCGUGACUGACGCUGAGGCGCGAAAGCGUGGGGAGCAAACAGG
rnacentral:rRNA from 1 species